GAUCCUGGCUCGGGAUGAACGCUGGCGGCGCGCCUAACACAUGCAAGUCGAACGAACGAUGAAAAGCUUGCUUUUCAAAGUUAGUGGCGGACGGGUGAGUAACGCGUGGGUAACCUGCCUCAUACAGGGGAAUAGCAGCUGGAAACGGCUGAUAAAACCGCAUAAGCGCACAGUGCCGCAUGGCACAGUGUGAAAAACUCCGGUGGUAUGAGAUGGACCCGCGUCUGAUUAGCUUGUUGG
rnacentral:rRNA from 1 species